rnacentral:lncRNA from 10 species
ACUCCCCCAGGCUCUCCGUGGCCGGGGCGCCAUGAAAGCCGGGUUCACAUUUGAAUUCUUAAUUUUUUUGGAGACAGUCUCGCUCUGUCGCCCAGACCGGAGUGCAGUGGCGCGAUCUCGGCUCACUGCAGCCUCUGCCUCAGCCUCCUGAGUGGCUGGGACCUACAGGCACGCGCCACCACCCCUGGCUAAUUUUUUUGUUUUUUUAAAGUAGAGACGGGGUUUCACCUUGUUGGCCAGGAUGGUCUCGGUAACUCCUGACCUCAAGUGAUCCGCCCACCUCGGCCUCCCAAAGUGCUGGGAUUACAGGCAUGAGCCACCGCUCCGGGCCCUUGCACAUAUUUUUUUAUGAACACACAGGCAGCAGCACUUUGAUUACAGUAACUUACAUGGAAGUUAUUUUAAAAUGGCUUUCCCCUUCUCUUUUUCAUGUAGGCUGCAUUUUUCAUCUGCAGCACGCUUUCUCUCAAGAAUCUCAAGCACACACAAGAAACCAGAGAGUAAAAUCACUGAGGCGUGAACACAUCCAGAGACCAAGGGCGUCACUGGCAGAAAAGCUUUUAGGCGGAUCCACGGCCCGAGAGCCACCCUGCCCAGAGACGCGGU